GCCUCGUGAACCCCUCUCUCCAGGAGGAGGGCAUCAUGACGCACUAGACCUGGCUGCAGGUGGUGAGUGAAUGUAGCUGCGCCCUGAGCAGAGGGGAGAGGGGCCAUGAGGAGGCUGUUUUGGGGCCCUUCUGGAGCAGGGCCGGAGAAGGGUAGGAGAUUGAAGAGGGUGAGUGAGAAAAGGCUGGACAGGACUAGGGCAGCUCCUCAACCCACCCCCAGGCACCCUCCCCUUCGCGCUGGACCUGGCUUUCCUUGAGGGGAGGAGGGAGUUUGUCCCCUUGAUCUGUGUGGCGCCUCUCCCCAGCACAGUGCUGCAAGUGCAACCAGCGGAAAUGCCCAGCCCCGGGACCAGGGGACUAGGGACAGGAGCCUACCCUGUGCGGCUCUGAGGAGUGGCUGUGAGCACUGCACGCAGGACUGAGAAAGCCCGGGAUAAGCCCGGAGUGCAGGGAAACCCGCAGCCCCCUGGGCAGAUGUGGAGAAGAAUCUGGACAAGCUGACCGAGACCCCGGUACCGGGGGUCUCCGUGUGUGCCUGGCUGCGUGAUCAGCUGGUUUCCUGUUUGCUGUCACCUUCCGAUGAGUCUCCCUCUAAGUGUCAACAUGAAUUUUGAAGAAUCUGCAUUCAAUUCCAUAUCAGCCUGAGUUAAAAACUUUAGAAUGGGGAAUCCACCUCUCGCUUUAUAACCACCUACUUCCUGUCACUCGUCAUUUUCUAAAUAAAUGAGAAGUUCCCUUCAAAGCUUAUAAGCAUCUUCUAAACCCAGAAACAAAUAUAGUUGUUUAUUUUCUUCAUGUUAAGGCUACAGAAACCUGCCCUUUGCAAAGAAAAAUAUAUAUAUAUCCUGCUUAAUGUAGAUUUUUCUUAUAACAAUAACACUAACCUUAAAAAAACAAAAAAACAAAAACAAAAACAAAAAACCUCAUGUUGAAAAAUAGUAUCCUGGCUGG
rnacentral:lncRNA from 1 species